CAUGAAACAAUAACUGUUAUGGAAUUGUUUGAUGAUUACCUAUUCAUUAAAUAUUAACCUGUAAUUUUUAAGAUGUAAAAAAAGAUAGCCUUCUACUAUAUCAGUUGUAGUAGUAUUUUAAAUUUCUUGUUAAAAUGUAUUAUUAGAAGCAAUUCUAAUUGUAAACAAUUAUAUUGUACAUAUUAUAAGGUUGUCGCAAUAUGGAAUCAUUGAAAUUCCCUAAUUUUCAUACUCAGCAUUUCAGCCAUGAUAAAGCAAAAUGGUACCUAUAGUAAUCAGAAAUGUCUAGCAAAUGAGAGUUUAAAAAUAAUAAAUAUAAACAUCUCAAAAAAAAUAUGUCCAAAAUUUGCAUUAAUAAAUAUAGGUACUCAUUCCAGGGAUUAUAUGAAUUGCACAAG